AUUGUAAAUUGUAAUCUUUUCUCUAGAUUUUGUUUUGUCAAGAAAAACUAAUCUUUUCCCUAGCUCUGAAGUUUAGUAUGGCAAAAAUGGCUGCAACUAGCACCACAAAGUAUAUGGUUUUGGCUGUUCUUGUUGCGAUCAUUCUCCUCAUCAUGUUCACUGAGGUGGCUACUGCUGCGGUUGAUAAUGCAGAGCCAGAAGUCAAACUUGGACGAAGGCUACUUCAAGCGGAGUACAACACCAAUGGGCGAAGUGGAUACAAUGGCCCCAUUACACCUGGAGGAUCCAACAGCUACAACACCACUGGGCGAGGAGGAUAUAAUUGAUUACCUAAUCAUUAAUAAUUAGCAGUAAUACAUGUAACAGUGUCCCAAAUAAGUUGUUACCUUGUACCAUAUAUUAAGCUUGAUUCCAGAACCAUAAUAUACUUUGGUUCUGGAUAAGUUGUUGCUAAAACUACAAUAAUGGCGGUGAUGUCAUAUAUAUGUUACUUUGAGAUGGUGAUAUUAAUGAUAAGGAUGUGUGAAGUCGUACAAGUAUGU